UACCUCUGUGAGUCCUCGCGUGUUUCCCGAAGCUCUCGAUCUUUCAAAUCGACGUAAGUCAGAUUGGUUUCUAUCUACAAAAAUAUUUAAAUAAUUUGUACGAAAGGACUAUAAUUCAUAAAUUAUUUAUAUAUUUAUUAAUAAAUAUUUAUAAUUAUUUU